UACGAAGGGGGCUAGCGUUGCUCGGAUUGACUGGGCGUAAAGGGCGCGUAGGCGGUUCGUACAGUCAGACGUGAAAUUCCUGGGCUCAACCUGGGGGCUGCGUUUGAUACGUGCGGACUUGAGUGCGGAAGAGGGUCGUGGAAUUCCCAGUGUAGAGGUGAAAUUCGUAGAUAUUGGGAAGAACACCGGUGGCGAAGGCGGCGACCUGGUCCGAUACUGACGCUGAGGCGCCGAAAGCGUGGGGAGCAA
rnacentral:rRNA from 1 species